GGAGUUAGCCGGUGCUUCUUCUGCGAGUAACGUCACAGAUGUAAGGUAUUAACUUACACCCUUUCCUCCUCGCUGAAAGUGCUUUACAACCCGAAGGCCUUCUUCACACACGCGGCAUGGCUGCAUCAGGGUUUCCCCCAUUGUGCAAUAUUCCCCACUGCUGCCUCCCGUAGGAGUCUGGGCCGUGUCUCAGUCCCAGUGUGGCUGAUCAUCCUCUCAGACCAGCUAGGGAUCGUCGCCUAGGUGAGCCUUUACCUCACCUACUAGCUAAUCCCACCUGGGCUUAUCCAUCAGCGCAAGGCCCGAAGGUCCCCUGCUUUCCCCCGUAGGGCGUAUGCGGUAUUAGCAGUCGUUUCCAACUGUUAUCCCCCACAAAUGGGCAAAUUCCCAGGCAUUACUCACCCGUCCGCCGCUCGUCAUCUCAAAGACAGCUUUGUAAUAGUUACCGCUCGACUUGCAUGUGUUAGGUCCGUCGCCGCCAGCGUUCAUCUGAGCCGAGGAUACAACUACUGA
rnacentral:rRNA from 1 species